ACAGAGGGUGCAAACGUUGCUCGGAAUUACUGGGCGUAAAGCGCGUGUAGGCGGAUCGCUAAGUCAGGUGUGAAAUCCCUGGGCUCAACCCGGGAACUGCAUCUGAAACUGGCGGUCUUGAGUGCUGGAGAGGGAAGCGGAAUUCCUGGUGUAGAGGUGAAAUUCGUAGAUAUCAGGAGGAACACCGGUGGCGAAGGCGGGUUGCUGGGCCGACACUGACGCUGAGGCGCGAAAGCUAGGGGAGCGAACGGGA
rnacentral:rRNA from 1 species